rnacentral:lncRNA from 1 species
UGAUGGGGUUUAAACCAAAGACAUUACACUAGGUUAGCUGUUGACCAUGAUGGGGUUUAAACCAAAGACAUUACACUAGGUUAGCUGUUGACCAUGUUGGGGUUUAAACCAAAGACAUUACACUAGGUUAGCUGUUGAUCAUGAUGGGGUUUAAACCAAAGACAUUACACUAGGUUAGCUGCUGAUCAUGAUGGGGUUUAAACCAAAGACAUUACACUAGGUUAGCUAGCUGUUGACCAUGUUGGGGUUUAAACCAAAGACAUUACACUAGGUUAGCUGUUGACCAUGAUGGGGUUUAAACCAAAGACAUUACACUAGGUUAGCUGUUGACUGUUGUGGGGUUUAAACCAAAGACAUUACACUAGGUUAGCUGUUGACUGUUGUGGGGUUUAAACCAAAUACAUUACACUAGGUUAGCUGUUGACCAUGUUGGGGUUUAAACCAAAGACAUUACACUAGGUUAGCUAGCUGCUGACCAUGAUGGGGUUUAAACCAAAGACAUUACACUAGGUUAGCUGUUGACCAUGAUGGGGUUUAAACCAAAGACAUUACACUAGGUUAGCUGCUGACCAUGAUGGGGUUUAAACCAAAGACAUUACACUAGGUUAGCUGUUGACCAUGAUGGGGUUUAAACCAAAGACAUUACACUAGGUUAGCUGCUGAUCAUGAUGGGGUUUAAACCAAAGACAUUACACUAGGUUAGCUGUUGACCAUGAUGGGGUUUAAACCAAAGACAUUACACUAGGUUAGCUGUUGGCCAUGAUGGGGUUUAAACCAAAGACAUUACACUAGGUUAGCUGUUGACCAUGAUGGGGUUUAAACCAAAGACAUUACACUAGGUUAGCUGUUGACCAUGAUGGGGUUUAAACCAAAGACAUUACACUAGGUUAGCUAGCUGUUGACCAUGAUGGGGUUUAAACCAAAGACAUUACACUAGGUUAGCUGUUGACCAUGAUGGGGUUUAAACCAAAGACAUUACACUAGGUUAGCUGUUGACCAUGAUAGGGUUUAAACCAAAGACAUUACACUAGGUUAGCUAGUUGCUGACCAUGAUAGGGUUUAAACCAAAGACAUUACACUAGGCUGGUCAUUUGUUGCCUAGAUGAAGGUGAAUGAGAGAAGUGGUGAAUGAAAAACAGAAUGACUCUUCCAUAAACUCCCAUAACAUAUCAUAACAUACUAAAAACAACCAUAACAACCAAAUCCUUUACAUCACACACGCAAUGGACAUUCCAGUUAACAUACAUACAUACCAUAACACACAGUUAUUACUAACAUAACUUAAACUUUAUCAAAAUAGGCGAGUAUUAUAAGGCACUAUAUAGUCUAAACUUAACAAUACUUAUUUGAUGCUGUUUGGAAAUACCACAAGUUGUUGCUCAUUCAUUGCUGUGAUACACACAAAAGGAUGACAUCAUCUACUUGUGCCAUGACAAGACAAAAAUGUAUCUACUUCCUGGGUCAAAGGUCCUUGAAACGGACACGUUUCAUUGGGCAGGUGCAAUAUCAGUCAUAAUAACACCGUGGUGCCUGAAAAGAUAGGUCCUCGUCAACAUUAUACAUGGCGAAACUUGAGUAGUGAGACACUUGACAGAAAUAUAAUAGUCACACAUAUACUUAUUGCACGGGUACUGAAUCAGAGAGAGAACGCUUAUAUAUCUGGGAGCAUUCCAAUGAGAAAAUUACCUUCACCCAUUCCUCCCUCCUUUCCUCCAUCCCUCCCUCCUUUCCCCAUCCCUCCCUCCAUCCCUCCCUCCUUUCCUCCCUCCUUUCCUCCAUCCCUCCCUCCCUCCUUUCCUCAUCCCUCCCUCCCUCCUUUCACCCAUCCCUCCCUCCUUCACCC